rnacentral:sRNA from 1 species
CCUCCCUGUGGCAAGGACUAAGUAUGACUGUUCCUCUGGGCAGGAAGCCAAUGUCACCACUGUGAUGUCACCGUGAAGUAGAACUCUCUGGAGUCCGUUACUUCAUGUGACCCUUGCUGCAGCUCAGAAACGGGUGGGCGGGUGGCAACAAGGAAAGGACCCAGAAUCAUAGAGGAUUUUCUCAAGGACACAGAGUCGGUCGGGGGCAGAGCUGAGAUCUGGAAAUGUGCUGUCACGGAGUUUUUCUCAUGCAUGAGAUUUUGCUCAACAGAUGACCCCUUGAGUGGCCAUCCUGUGUCACACGCCUUGUUCUGAUUGAGGGACUGGCUUGAGAGAGAAAGUGAGCUCUGUCCUCAGGAGGUCACUCUCUGUUAAGCCAGGUGAGCCUGAAGGCAGGAGAAGUCGGGGCCAAAGAGCGACCAGCAUGAAAGGAAAAGCCGGUUGUCACUCUGCUUGGCUGGCUGUGUGGGCUCUAGCCCUGCCUCAGUGCAGACUCUCAGUCUACCACCGUGGGAUGGCCGGUCCAGGGUUCGUCCUUUCAGUACCCAUUUAGUAGAGGCCUCUAAGGAGAGGUGAGCAAGCCAAGCGGGGGCCCAUAAGGACGAUAGCACUUUCUUAGAGCGCACAGGAGUUGACGGACCUGGAGACGUUUGGGAAACAGGCCCUGCCGGAGAGGCAAAUAUCAGACAGCUUGUGAAGGCACUCGGUCUCCUUAGGGUGUGUCCUCACUGCAAGAGCAGAACAGGAUCCCUGCCUGACACUGAGGACCUGAAGGCUGUAGCUGCCAGUGGACCCCAUACAGAAAAGUUCAGGCUUUCCCUGCUAUCUGGCCCACCCCUACUUCUGCAGCCAUAUCCUAUUUCGGGGCCUCACCUGCCUCUCAGCCCUCCUUCUCUGACUUGCAAGCUUCUGUCCCCAGACAAGGGAGGUAGAGUGUAUCUGUGUUAGCCCCUUGGGUGUCAGAACGGAGGCUGGCAUAGGGAGGCUAGGGACAGUGUGCUCUGAAGCCAGACAGGGGUUCAGGGGCGCCUUGCAACCGGGCUGUCCACACUACUCCCUGAGAAUCUGAUCCCCUUCACAGGCCCAGCUCUUCAGAGAUUCACUUGAAUCCUUGGGGUGUCGUCCAGCUGAAUUGAGUCUUCCUUUUCCAAUUUCCCGGAAAACCUAUCUUAAAGCUUCAAGGCUUCUUCUCAGUCUCCAGAACGGAUGCUCUGCCCCCUGGUGGCCAAAUAUGGUACAGCCACAGUCAAUACCAAAAGCCAUGGUCCUGAAAGGAUGCAGCGUGACUCUCAGGCUUGUGUCUCCUUUCCGUCACCGUGAAUCCCUGGACUACCUCGGUGGUCUUCAUGCUUCAGGACCCGAACCCCAGAGACAGCCUCUCAGAGAUGAAGCCCUGUCUGCGUGGCUGGUUCUCCAGCUACCAUGGGAAGCUGGCCAACUUUACUGGUGGGGCUGGCAUCUGGCAGGGACCAGAACUAUAAGUAACAAAGGGUGGGCACUCACUCACGAAGAGAACCUUUCUCUCUUGGCUUGCUGUGUGUCCUUCAACUAACCUUUACUGAAGAGCUACUUGGCGCUACUGUGUAUGGCUUUCUCCUGGCUUGAUUUUAUAUAUAUAUAUAUAUA